UAGUUCUUCCUCUGUGUGCUCCUUGCCCAGAUGUUCUCUUACCACAGGCUUCAAACCAGCAAAGCCGCUGACUACAAGCUGAAGUUCUGAGACUGGAAGCCAAAGCUUGGUCUUUGCUCAUAAGCUGAGUGACGACCUGGGUAUUUUGUGAUACUGAGAGAAAUACAGUUAUUACUUCUAAGACCACGUGAAACAGAAAGGAAGCUGGAGCGCUGCAGCUAAAGAUGGACAGGCAGCAGCUGAGCAGCCUGCUCAGGCGGCUCGCUGCUUUCUAACGUCGCUCUCUAACAUCUCUGUUGCUACCCAGGAAUAGAAUGUGGGACUGAUUCAGAUGGUCCACAGCAAUAGACUCUUUGCUUCGGGUGGGCUCUGAGAGGAGCUCUUUGCCAGCUGCAGAUAGUUUGAAUCUGAGGACUCUGGAGAGAGAAUUAAUGCCAGAGCCCAGGCAGUGUGGAGUUCCAAGAACAAGACUGCUCCUGCUUCUCCCUUGCUGCUCCUAGUUGCUGUUGUGAAAGAAGAAGAUGGAGAUCUUCUGAAAUGAGGAUUGGACUGGCUCCAAAGAACCCUGAUGAUCCUGACAAGCAAGAAGCAGCUAAGAAUUGUGACCCUUCUCCAACUAACCCUUUCUCUCUCCUAACUGGAUUUGGGGUGUUGGAAGGGAUUGGAGUGGAGUAGGCAGAAAAAGAUAAGAAAUGUAAAUAAAGGUUUUGUUUUUUUUUUUUUUUUUUCUAUUCAUUUGAAGGAACAGUAGUUCUUAAAUGCAUGAACAUCCCUGUGGUCUUCUUUUGCUUCCUGCCACAAUCUAGUGAAGAGCAACAUGGAUUCUUUGUGCAUUCUGGAGAGGAAACAUUGGUUUCCUGCAUUGCUGACAACAUGCUAUUUGGCCUUAUGAACAGGAAGCGAAUUCUAGAGUGGAAGGUCUGUGAAGAAUUGUGUUGAAAUUUGGAUGGGAAUUGCUGAGCGCACGCUGAGGCUGAGAGCACACUGAGGCUGAGCACACACUGAGGCUGAGAACACUGAGGCUGACUUCCCUCACACCACUCUGUGUGUAUCACCUGGUGUUAGAGACCUUCAUUUUUCCUACACAUGUGAAGUUCAUAUUCUCUUGAUUGUCACUGCACUCUCACUGUCUACUUUCUAGUAAUCAUAUACUUGCUGUUCUGUUUCAGAUUUCUGAAGGUGAAGGAACUUAUUUAGCCUCUCUAAUUUUGAUCUUUCACGAUUUUAAAAAUUGCAAUCAUGGCCAGAGACUAACAGCCUAGAUUUCAACCUUACUCCAUCAUGUGCCAGCCAUGAGUCCUUAGGCUUAUUAUAUAAGCACUCUGUCCCUGUAGAGAUGUGCUCAUUAACCAGCUUGUGAGAAUUAUAUGAGAUGAUGGAUAUGAAACCAGUGAUAUAUAUCAUCUCCAGGGUGUGACUGUGACUAUUAAUUAAUCUUGGCUCUUAUAUGGAUAUACAUGUUUAAAGAUGCAUGGGAUCACCUUUAGAUUAUUAUCUAGUCUAUUGGUUAUUAGACUUUUGGGCUAUAUAGUUUGUAACAAAAGUUAUGUGAAAAUUUCUUACCAAGUAAUGUCACUUGCUUUUUAUUUUCUGAAUAAGGUUACCAAACAAACAAACAAACAACAGCUAAGAUA